AUGAACGCUGGCGGCGUGCCUAAUACAUGCCAGUCGAGCGAACAGACGAGGAGCUUGCUCCUCUGACGUUAGCGGCGGACGGGUUAGUAACACGUGGAUAACCUACCUAUAAUACUGGGAUAACUUCGGGAACCCGGAGCUAAUACCGGAUAAUAUAUUGAACCGCAUGGUUCAAUAGUUAAAUACGGUUUUUCUGUCUCUUAUAGAUUGAUCCGCGCCUCAUUAGCUAGUUGGUAAGGUAACGGCUUACCAAGGCAACGAUGCGUAGCCGACCUGAGAGGGUGAUCGGCCACACUGGAACUGAGACACGGUCCAGACUACUACGGGAGGCAGCAGUAGGGAAUCUUCCGCAAUGGGCGAAAGCUUGACGGAGCAACGCCGAGUGAGUGAUGAAGGUCUUCGGAUCGUAAAACUCUGUUAUUAGGGAAGAAAAAAUGUGUAAGUAAAUAUGCACGUAUUGACGGUACCUAAUAAGAAAGCAACGGCUAACUACGUG
rnacentral:rRNA from 1 species